UACGUAGGGUGCGAGCGUUGUCCGGAAUUAUUGGGCGUAAAGAGCUUGUAGGCGAUCUGUCGCGUCUGCUGUGAAAAUCCGGGGCUCAACCCCGGACUUGCAGUGGGUACGGGCAGACUAGAGUGUGGUAGGGGAGACUGGAAUUCCUGGUGUAGCGGUGAAAUGCGUAGAUAUUGGGAAGAACACCAGUGGCGAAAGCGGACUUCUGGGUUGUUACUGACGCUGAGGUACGAAAGCGUGGGGAGCAAACGGG
rnacentral:rRNA from 1 species